CAGGCCUAACACAUGCAAGUCGAGGGGUAACAAGAGGAAAGCUUGCUUUUCUUGUUGACGACCGGCGCACGGGUGAGUAACGCGUAUCCAACCUGCCUAUAACUAGGGAAUAACCUUGCGAAAGUAAGACUAAUACCCUAUGAUUUCCUUUGAUGACAUCAGAUUAGGAAUAAAGAUUUAUCGGUUAUAGAUGGGGAUGCGUCUGAUUAGCUUGUUGGCGGGGUAACGGCCCACCAAGGCAACGAUCAGUAGGGGUUCUGAGAGGAAGGUCCCCCACAUUGGAACUGAGACACGGUCCAAACUCCUACGGGAGGCAGCAGUGAGGAAUAUUGGUCAAUGGGCGAAAGCCUGAACCAGCCAAGUAGCGUGCAGGAUGACGGCCCUAUGGGUUGUAAACUGCUUUUAUACAGGAAUAAAGUUAGCCACGUGUGGUUAUUGUAGGUACUGAGAAUAGACCGCAUCUG
rnacentral:rRNA from 1 species